GCAUUUUGCAAGCUUUUGAUGAGGAUCCAACGACAAGUAUUCGAGUUGUAGCUGAAAGACUUCACUUGUCGGUUUGGAAAGUUUGGUCAGUUCUUCGGGAAAAUGGAAAGCAUGCGUAUCACUACACUUCUGUUCAAGGUCUCAUAGAUGAUGAUCACAGGAGACGGCUCGAUUUUUGCCGAUUUAUGAUGCAUACGGACGUAGAUGAUACAAAUUUUUUAAAAAGAAUUUUGUGGACUGAUGAAUCCAAUUUUAAUCACGAGGGAAUUGUGAAUCUCCACAACCUUCACCAUUGGGCGCAAAAAAGACAAAAUCCCCGCAAGAAAAGACAAAGUUCCUUUCAAACUAAGUUUAGUGUAAACGUUUGGGCGGGGGUUAUUGGAAGACACCUGAUCGGUCCACAUUUCUUACCAGAGCGCCUGACCGGAGAAAAUUAUUUGAAUUUUUUACUCGAAGAUUUACCUGAAUUGGUAUUACCAGUAUUAGAUGGAGAACCAAUUAUUUUCCAAAAUGAUGGCUGUCCAGCACAUUACCAGCGAGACGUGCGAGAACAUUUGGACAACUGUUUUCCAAAUUCAUGGAUCGGAAGAGGCGGCCCAAUUCCUUGGCCUGCACGUUCACCAGACCUGACGCCCUUGGAUUUUUAUGUCUGGGGCCGUGCAAAAGAAAUUGUGUAUGCGACUGAAGUACCCACAAGAGAAAUUUUAAUCGAAAGAAUAAAUUGCGCCUUU
rnacentral:lncRNA from 1 species